rnacentral:rRNA from 1 species
UGGGGAAUAUUGCACAAUGGGCGCAAGCCUGAUGCAGCCAUGCCGCGUGUGUGAAGAAGGCCUUCGGGUUGUAAAGCACUUUCAGCGGGGAGGAAGGCGAUAAGGUUAAUAACCUCAUCGAUUGACGUUACCCGCAGAAGAAGCACCGGCUAACUCCGUGCCAGCAGCUGCGGUAAUACGGAGGGUGCAAGCGUUAAUCGGAAUUACUGGGCGUAAAGCGCACGCAGGCGGUCUGUCAAGUCGGAUGUGAAAUCCCCGGGCUCAACCUGGGAACUGCAUUCGAAACUGGCAAGCUAGAGUCUUGUAGAGGGGGGUAGAAUUCCAGGUGUAGCGGUGAAAUGCGUAGAGAUCUGGAGGAAUACCGGUGGCGAAGGCGGCCCCCUGGACAAAGACUGACGCUCAGGUGCGAAAGCGUGGGGAGCAAACAGG